UAUGUAAAAAAAUUUUGCAAUUUAUUAAAGAUAGAGCCUAUAUUAAUUAUACAUAUAAUAUAUGCAUUAUAUGUAUAUAAAUACGCAAAUACUUUUUCAGUAUGAAUAUACCUUUAAGUAAUGUUAUUUGGGGAUAAAAGCCUGGGUCAAGAAUUCUAUGUUGUCAAAAUAACCAAGAUUUUCCUUAAAACAAGUGGGAUGAAUUAGAAGAUUUUAAAAGAUGUUGGAAUAUGUAAUGGUAACGUCCUUGUGAAUUCAGAAGAGUGAAGAACUGCUUCGUCUCGUUUGAGAAGAAAAGGCCAUCUUAUUCUAGUGAAUAAGGGAGGUUUGUUGUAAGAAACGGAGGACUGAAAAAAUCUAUGAAAGCAAGAGGCAGAUGAAGAGGAUAGUCUAAUUUCCAAAAUAUUUAUUUUGAAGAACUACACUUUCUAAAACUGGCCUGGAACAAGAUAUAGCCAAUAUGACUCACGGCAGGUGAGAGGACACAGCUGGAGAAGAGCAAGUCCAGGCUUCCGCUUCCCUUGGGUGGCUGACUUCUAGAUCUGCAAUGCUUAAUCAUAAAAAAAAGGAAGCGAUGGUUGAGGACAUUAAAUGAGAAAUGUGUCUUCAAAGUACCUCGCCUGAAGAGCCAAGAUAAUUUACCAAGCCCGGAAAAGGGCAAGAGCACAUCAGGAUCACGAUGGACACAACAGAGCUCAGUCUUGAGAAACAAUCGCAGGGGCAUCGUUACAUUUAUCUGGGUCUUUCUUCAUCUGGAGGACUUCCACUGCUGCCGUUCACUGCAGGAUUGGCCGGUGAGACGUGUAAGGAGAGACUUGGCUGUGUUACCCAUAUAAGGAGCCUCCUAGAGGUAGCCCUGCAGCCCUCAGCCCUGAGUGUGUGUAAGGCAGCAAGCAUCUCAGCAGGAGGAAAAGACGUGUCUGCCUUCAAGGAAUUUUAAAUUUAAUGAGGAAAUAUUAAUUGUGAUGGUUUGGAACCUCAUCACCAUUAGAGGCACACUAGCCUCUUCACUUUUCUCAAAUAUGGCCUGGCAUGUUACACCUCAGGGCCUUUGUACAAGAUCCUUCUUCCCGGCAUGGUCUUCUAAUAUAGCCUCAUGACCUCCCCCUCUGCAUCUCCUUCAGGUCUUU
rnacentral:lncRNA from 1 species